UGUUCUAUGGCUUAGUUGGAUAAAGCGUCGAUCUAAUGAAUGCGAAGUCGUGGGUUCGAAUCCCACCACAACGC
rfam:Aedes albopictus isolate Foshan contig49120, whole genome shotgun sequence.